rnacentral:rRNA from 2 species
CUUUGGGUGUGACUGCGUACCUUUUGUAUAAUGGGUCAGCGACUUAUAUUCUGUAGCAAGGUUAACCGAAUAGGGGAGCCGGAGGGAAACCGAGUCUUAACCGGGCGUUAAGUUGCAGGGUAUAGACCCGAAACCCGGUGAUCUAGCCAUGGGCAGGUUGAAGGUUGGGUAACACUAACUGGAGGACCGAACCGACUAAUGUUGAAAAAUUAGCGGAUGACCUGUGGCUGGGGGUGAAAGGCCAAUCAAACCGGGAGAUAGCUGGUUCUCCCCGAAAGCUAUUUAGGUAGCGCCUCGUGAAUUCAUCUCCGGGGGUAGAGCACUGUUUCGGCUAGGGGGCCAUCCCGGCUUACCAACCCGAUGCAAACUGCGAAUACCGGAGAAUGUUAUCACGGGAGACACACGGCGGGUGCUAACGUCCGUCGUGAAGAGGGAAACAACCCAGACCGCCAGCUAAGGUCCCAAAGUCAUGGUUAAGUGGGAAACGAUGUGGGAAGGCCCAGACAGCCAGGAUGUUGGCUUAGAAGCAGCCAUCAUUUAAAGAAAGCGUAAUAGCUCACUGGUCGAGUCGGCCUGCGCGGAAGAUGUAACGGGGCUAAACCAUGCACCGAAGCUGCGGCAGCGACACUGUGUGUUGUUGGGUAGGGGAGCGUUCUGUAAGCCUGUGAAGGUGUGUCGUGAGGC